CGCGUCUCGCGUUGCUGGAGUUGAAGCUCUCGAGUUUCGUAUAAUCCCGGACUUCAAACAGCGCCAUCAGUGCCGCGCGGUCCCAGCCGGAGCCCUGUCCUCACGCCGCCUUCCGUCCCGCUUCAUCUCGCGCCCGCCUGGUCUCCCUCACUGGUUCCAUGUCCCCCCCUGGCCCGGGAAAGAAAGCUUUUGCUGUAUCUUCACUUCAAACGCUGGCAGAGACAACAGAGGGAAUCGAGGGAAGAGGCAGCUUCUGAAGAGAUGCAAAAGUGAUCAUGAGGAUGUGGCAGAGGCAGGCAAGAGACAGAGGGGUGUCAACUCCCAGCGGACAAUUUCAGGGAGAUUUACGACGACCCACAGUCUGUCCACCGUGGUUCUGUGACAGGAGUCACGUCAGCCUCCUCUGGAAAGAACCAACCAUUACGUGUGGAGAGCA